GAUGAACGCUGGCGGCGUGCCUAAUACAUGCAAGUCGAGCGAACGGACGAGAAGCUUGCUUCUCUGCUGUUAGCGGCGGACGGGUGAGUAACACGUGGAUAACCUACCUAUAAGACUGGGAUAACUUCGGGAAACCGUAGCUAAUACCGGAUAAUAUUUUGAACCGCAUGGUUCAAAAGUGAAAGACGGUCUUGCUGUCACUUAUAGAUGGAUCCGCGCUGCAUUAGCUAGUUGGUAAGGUAACGGCUUACCAAGGCAACGAUGCAUAGCCGACCUGAGAGGGUGAUCGGCCACACUGGAACUGAGACACGGUCCAGACUCCUACGGGAGGCAGCAGUAGGGAAUCUUCCGCAAUGGGCGAAAGCCUGACGGAGCAACGCCGCGUGAGUGAUGAAGGUCUUCGGAUCGUAAAACUCUGUUAUUAGGGAAGAACAUAUGUGGAAGUAACUGUGCACAUCUUGACGGUACCUAAUCAGAAAGCCACGGCUAACUACGUG
rnacentral:rRNA from 1 species